rnacentral:rRNA from 1 species
UGGGGGAUAUUGCACAAUGGGCGAAAGCCUGAUGCAGCGACGCCGCGUGGGGGAUGAAGGCCUUCGGGUUGUAAACUUCUUUUGCUCUGAACAAGGCAUGCUAAUGGGUGUGUUGAGUGUAGGGGUUGAUUAGCGCCGGCUAACUACGUGCCAGCAGCCGCAGUAAUACGUAGGGCGCGAGCGUUGUCCGGAAUUAUUGGGCGUAAAGGGCUUGUAGGUGGCUGGUUGCGUCUGUCGUGAAAGCUCAUGGCUUAACUGUGGGUUUGCGGUGGGUACGGGCUGGCUUGAGUGCAGUAGGGGAGGCUGGAAUUCCUGGUGUAGCGGUGGAAUGCGCAGAUAUCAGGAGGAAUACCGGUGGCGAAGGCGGGUCUCUGGGCUGUUACUGACACUGAGGAGCGAAAGCAUGGGGAGCGAACAGG